UGAAACUGGAAUGUCAGAGAAAAAUUUAU
rnacentral:sRNA from 1 species